rnacentral:rRNA from 1 species
UGCCCUGAUGUGGGGGAUAACUAUUGGAAACGAUAGCUAAUACCGCAUAAUGUCUACGGACCAAAGAGGGGGACCUUCGGGCCUCUCGCUUCAGGAUAUGCCCAGGUGGGAUUAGCUAGUUGGUGAGGUAAUGGCUCACCAAGGCGACGAUCCCUAGCUGGUCUGAGAGGAUGAUCAGCCACACUGGAACUGAGACACGGUCCAGACUCCUACGGGAGGCAGCAGUGGGGAAUAUUGCACAAUGGGCGCAAGCCUGAUGCAGCCAUGCCGCGUGUAUGAAGAAGGCCUUCGGGUUGUAAAGUACUUUCAGUCGUGAGGAAGGCAAUACAGUUAAUAGCUAUGUUGUUUGACGUUAGCGACAGAAGAAGCACCCGGCUAACUCCGUGCCAGCAACCGCGGGUAAUACGGG